rnacentral:rRNA from 1 species
UACGUAGGGGGCUAGCGUUGUCCGGAAUCAUUGGGCGUAAAGCGCGUGUAGGCGGUUCGGUAAGUCCGCUGUGAAAGUCGGGGGGCUCAACCCUCGGAUGCCGGUGGAUACUGUCGGGCUUGAGUACGGAAGAGGCGAGUGGAAUUCCUGGUGUAGCGGUGAAAUGCGCAGAUAUCAGGAGGAACACCAAUUGCGAAGGCAGCUCGCUGGGACGUUACUGACGCUGAGACGCGAAAGCGUGGGGAGCAAACAGG